rnacentral:tRNA from 1 species
GGGCCUGUAGCUCAGGAGUAGAGUGCUGCAUUGGCUUUGCGGAGGCCUCGGGUGCAAAUCCCGACAGGUCCA